rnacentral:rRNA from 1 species
ACGGAAGGCAGCAGUGGGGAAUAUUGCACAAUGGGGGAAACCCUGAUGCAGCAACGCCGCGUGCGGGAAGACGGUCUUCGGAUUGUAAACCGCUUUUCUUAGUGAAGAAUUUUGACGGUAGCUAAGGAACAAGCAUCGGCUAACUACGUGCCAGCAGCCGCGGUAAUACGUAGGAUGCGAGCGUUGUCCGGAUUUACUGGGUAUAAAGGGAGCGCAGGCGGGACUGCAAGUUGGAUGUGAAAUGUCGAGGCUUAACCUCGGAACUGCAUCCAAAACUGUAGUUCUUGAGUGGAGUAGAGGCAAGCGGAAUUCCGAGUGUAGCGGUGAAAUGCGUAGAUAUUCGGAGGAACACCAGUGGCGAAGGCGGCUUGCUGGGCUCUAACUGACGCUGAGGCUCGAAAGUGUGGGGAGCAAACAGGAUUAGAUACCCUGGUA